UUGGGCUGGAGCCUCUCCUCUUCAUCCAAGAACUCUGUCGUCCCUCCUGUCAGCUUGACAACGCCCUGCAGGAGCCUCCUGCAGGCUCGAGGCCCCAGGCCCAGGCCAAAGCAUCUGCAGCGCCUCCCUACCUGCCGCCGCACGUGUUUCGGCGCACCAGCUCCAGCACUUUGGCCACGUUGCUGACGGAGCCGUCUGUCACGAUGAAGAUCUGGCGUGGAAACGAGCGCUGCACGGGCUGCUGGUAGACCCAGGACAGCGCCCCCUGCAGGUCGUGUCCGGAGCUCCCACAGCAGCCCCACUCCUGACCACAGUGGCCAUCAAGACCAGACCCGGGGCAGCAGUCCAAGCAGCAGUCCUUCAGCUUCCCUCGGCUCUCGAUCUGGACCCCCAGCAGCCGGCCCGCGAUCACAGCCUCGAAGUCAACGAUCACCUCCUUCUCCGCCAAAGGAUUUUGACAGAGAACCAAGACUCACAGGGAGAGUUUUGCACGUGGGCAGCAUGUACAGUACAAUGAAAAAUGAAGAGGCCCAAGGAUGGAGCCCUGAGGCACUCCACAAGUGAGAGGUGCUGUCGAGGCCACAGAGUCACCGAUACUAAUUCAGAAGCUCCCAUCAGAUAAUGCGGAGCUGAAGAUUAAGCAAUGUGGACCCAUUGGGCUUUUCUUCCUCUCACCACUGACCUUCCACAGACUCCACAUCAGCAUUGGCGUAGGUGAGA